GGAUACCGCGGAAUAUUGGAGAAAGGGAGAAGCGAGGGCAAUUUUCACCACCUUUCAUAUCCCAAGUUCCGAGUAAUAUGACGCUGGGGAUAUAUACCCUCUAACCCAGGUUGCUAGUGGUAGGUCAGCAACGGAAUGGAGGGCUCGACGGCGUAAGAAAUUCAAAAAAACAUAUGAUAUGUUGAUGUUGUAGUAUAUAUAGAUUGUGCAGAUACGGCCACGUGUGCCCAGGCAUGCAAAAGUUGCAAUUUUUAACAUGAACUUGUGAAAGGUGGAAAAUAGAAUAAACCCCCAAGGCUUAGCUCUAAGAGUAAUUUCGAGAUCCCGAGGGUGGCGUCAAAAGUGAUAAAAAUUUAGAAAUCUUGAUAGUUGGUUGGCCCUUUCUCGGGGCAUUAGGCAGACUCGAAGAUUGAUGCAGAACUGUGCUUGACGUGAAGGAGCAGCGAGCAACUGGACGGUGACUUGGGCCAGAGGGAAACUGGACGAUUAUGAUAACGAAUCUUGGGACUUGAUCGGAGGUUUUACCCUUGGUGUUGGGUUUUGCGGUGAAAUCUAAGGUGAAGGUUUGGGGACGAAAAGGAG
rnacentral:sRNA from 2 species